GGAGGGGGGGCUAGCGUUGUUCGGAAUUACUGGGCGUAAAGCGCGCGUAGGCGGACCUGCAAGUCGGGGGGUGAAAGCCCGAGGCUCAACCUCGGAACUGCCUUCGAUACUGCGGGUCUUGAGUCCGGGAGAGGUGAGCGGAAUUCCUAGUGUAGAGGUGAAAUUCGUAGAUAUUAGGAAGAACACCAGUGGCGAAGGCGGCUCACUGGCCCGGUUCUGACGCUGAGGCGCGAAAGCGUGGGGAGCAAACAGGAUUAGAUACCCUGGUAGACCACGCCGUAAACGAUGGGUGCUAGCCGUCGGGGAGCUUGCUCUUCGGUGGCGCAGCUAACGCGUUAAGCACCCCGCCCGGGGAGUACGGUCGCAAGAUUA
rnacentral:rRNA from 1 species